CCUACGGUGCGCAGCAGUGGGGAAUAUUGCGCAAUGGGGGCAACCCUGACGCAGCAGCGCCGCGUGAUUGAAGAAGGCCUUCGGGUUGUAAAGAUCUUUAAUCGGGGACGAAUUUUGACGGUACCCGAAGAAUAAGCUCCGGCUAACUACGUGCCAGCAGCCGCGGUAAUACGUAGGGAGCAAGCGUUAUCCGGAUUUACUGGGUGUAAAGGGCGUGUAGGCGGGCACGCAAGCCAGAAGUGAAAUCUGGGGGCUUAACCCCCAAACUGCUUUUGGAACUGCGUGUCUUGAGUGAUGGAGAGGCAGGCGGAAUUCCCAGUGUAGGAGUGAAAUCCGUAGAUAUUAGAAGGAACACCAAUAGCGUAGGCAGGUUGCUGGGACGGUUCUGACACUAAGGCACGAAAGCGUAGGGAGCAAACGGGAUUAGAUACCCGGGUAGUC
rnacentral:rRNA from 1 species